rnacentral:rRNA from 1 species
GUAGGACACUCUAUACGGAGUUACAAAGGACGACAUUAGACGAAUCAUCUGGAAAGAUGAAUCAAAGAAGGUAAUAAUCCUGUAGUCGAAAAUGUUGUCUCUCUUGAGUGGAUCCUGAGUACGACGGAGCACGUGAAAUUCCGUCGGAAUCUGGGAGGACCAUCUCCUAAGGCUAAAUACUCUCUAGUGACCGAUAGUGAACCAGUACCGUGAGGGAAAGGUGAAAAGCACCCCGGAAGGGGAGUGAAAUAGAACCUGAAACCGUGUGCUUACAAGUAGUCAGAGCCCGUUAAUGGGUGAUGGCGUGCCUUUUGUAGAAUGAACCGGCGAGUUACGAUUUGAUGCAAGGUUAAGCAGUAAAUGUGGAGCCGUAGCGAAAGCGAGUCUGAAUAGGGCGUUUAGUAUUUGGUCGUAGACCCGAAACCAGGUGAUCUACCCUUGGUCAGGUUGAAGUUCAGGUAACACUGAAUGGAGGACCGAACCGACUUACGUUGAAAAGUGAGCGGAUGAACUGAGGGUAGCGGAGAAAUUCCAAUCGAACCUGGAGAUAGCUGGUUCUCUCCGAAAUAGCUUUAGGGCUAGCCUCAAGUGAUGAUUAUUGGAGGUAGAGCACUGUUUGGACGAGGGGCCCCUCUCGGGUUACCGAAUUCAGACAAACUCCGAAUGCCAAUUAAUUUAACUUGGGAGUCAGAACAUGGGUGAUAAGGUCCGUGUUCGAAAGGGAAACAGCCCAGACCACCAGCUAAGGUCCCAAAAUAUAUGUUAAGUGGAAAAGGAUGUGGCGUUGCCCAGACAACUAGGAUGUUGGCUUAGAAGCAGCCAUCAUUUAAAGAGUGCGUAAUAGCUCACUAGUCGAGUGACACUGCGCCGAAAAUGUACCGGGGCUAAACAUAUUACCGAAGCUGUGGAUUGUCCUUUGGACAAUGGUAGGAGAGCGUUCUAAGGGCGUUGAAGCAUGAUCGUAAGGACAUGUGGAGCGCUUAGAAGUGAGAAUGCCGGUGUGAGUAGCGAAAGACGGGUGAGAAUCCCGUCCACCGAUUGACUAAGGUUUCCAGAGGAAGGCUCGUCCGCUCUGGGUUAGUCGGGUCCUAAGCUGAGGCCGACAGGCGUAGGCGAUGGAUAACAGGUUGAUAUUCCUGUACCACCUAUAAUCGUUUUAAUCGAUGGGGGGACGCAGUAGGAUAGGCGAAGCGUGCGAUUGGAUUGCACGUCUAAGCAGUAAGGCUGAGUAUUAGGCAAAUCCGGUACUCGUUAAGGCUGAGCUGUGAUGGGGAGAAGACAUUGUGUCUUCGAGUCGUUGAUUUCACACUGCCGAGAAAAGCCUCUAGAUAGAAAAUAGGUGCCCGUACCGCAAACCGACACAGGUAGUCAAGAUGAGAAUUCUAAGGUGAGCGAGCGAACUCUCGUUAAGGAACUCGGCAAAAUGACCCCGUAACUUCGGGAGAAGGGGUGCUCUUUAGGGUUAACGCCCAGAAGAGCCGCAGUGAAUAGGCCCAAGCGACUGUUUAUCAAAAACACAGGUCUCUGCUAAACCGUAAGGUGAUGUAUAGGGGCUGACGCCUGCCCGGUGCUGGAAGGUUAAGAGGAGUGGUUAGCUUCUGCGAAGCUACGAAUCGAAGCCCCAGUAAACGGCGGCCGUAACUAUAACGGUCCUAAGGUAGCGAAAUUCCUUGUCGGGUAAGUUCCGACCCGCACGAAAGGCGUAACGAUUUGGGCACUGUCUCAACGAGAGACUCGGUGAAAUCAUAGUACCUGUGAAGAUGCAGGUUACCCGCGACAGGACGGAAAGACCCCGUGGAGCUUUACUGUAGCCUGAUAUUGAAAUUCGGCACAGCUUGUACAGGAUAGGUAGGAGCCUUUGAAACGUGAGCGCUAGCUUACGUGGAGGCGCUGGUGGGAUACUACCCUAGCUGUGUUGGCUUUCUAACCCGCACCACUUAUCGUGGUGGGAGACAGUGUCAGGCGGGCAGUUUGACUGGGGCGGUCGCCUCCUAAAAGGUAACGGAGGCGCUCAAAGGUUCCCUCAGAAUGGUUGGAAAUCAUUCAUAGAGUGUAAAGGCAUAAGGGAGCUUGACUGCGAGACCUACAAGUCGAGCAGGGUCGAAAGACGGACUUAGUGAUCCGGUGGUUCCGCAUGGAAGGGCCAUCGCUCAACGGAUAAAAGCUACCCCGGGGAUAACAGGCUUAUCUCCCCCAAGAGUUCACAUCGACGGGGAGGUUUGGCACCUCGAUGUCGGCUCAUCGCAUCCUGGGGCUGUAGUCGGUCCCAAGGGUUGGGCUGUUCGCCCAUUAAAGCGGUACGCGAGCUGGGUUCAGAACGUCGUGAGACAGUUCGGUCCCUAUCCGUCGUGGGCGUAGGAAAUUUGAGAGGAGCUGUCCUUAGUACGAGAGGACCGGGAUGGACAUACCUCUGGUGUACCAGUUGUCGUGCCAACGGCAUAGCUGGGUAGCUAUGUGUGGACGGGAUAAGUGCUGAAAGUAUCUAAGCAUGAAGCCCCCCUCAAGAUGAGAUUUCCCAACUUCGGUUAUAAGAUCCCUCAAAGAUGAUGAGGUUAAUAGGUUCGAGGUGGAAGCAUGGUGACAUGUGGAGCUGACGAAUACUAAUCGAUCGAAGACUUAAUCAA